rnacentral:rRNA from 1 species
AGAGUUUGAUCCUGGCUCAGGAUGAACGCUGGCGGCGUGCCUAACACAUGCAAGUCGAACGAAGCACCUUACUUGAUUCUUCGGAUGAAGGUCUGGUGACUGAGUGGCGGACGGGUGAGUAACGCGUGGGUAACCUGCCCUGUACAGGGGGAUAACAGCUGGAAACGGCUGCUAAUACCGCAUAAGCGCACGAGGAGACAUCUCCUUGUGUGAAAAACUCCGGUGGUACAGGAUGGGCCCGCGUCUGAUUAGCUGGUUGGCAGGGUAACGGCCUACCAAGGCAACGAUCAGUAGCCGGUCUGAGAGGAUGAACGGCCACAUUGGAACUGAGACACGGUCCAAACUCCUACGGGAGGCAGCAGUGGGGAAUAUUGCACAAUGGGGGAAACCCUGAUGCAGCAACGCCGCGUGAGUGAAGAAGUAUUUCGGUACGUAAAGCUCUAUCAGCAGGGAAGAUAAUGACGGUACCUGACUAAGAAGCUCCGGCUAAAUACGUGCCAGCAGCCGCGGUAAUACGUAUGGAGCAAGCGUUAUCCGGAUUUACUGGGUGUAAAGGGUGCGUAGGUGGCAGUGCAAGUCAGAUGUGAAAGGCCGGGGCUCAACCCCGGAGCUGCAUUUGAAACUGCUCGGCUAGAGUACAGGAGAGGCAGGCGGAAUUCCUAGUGUAGCGGUGAAAUGCGUAGAUAUUAGGAGGAACACCAGUGGCGAAGGCGGCCUGCUGGACUGUUACUGACACUGAGGCACGAAAGCGUGGGGAGCAAACAGGAUUAGAUACCCUGGUAGUCCGCGCGGUAAACGAUGGAUGCCCGCUGUUGGGCCAACUGGUUCAGCGGCCAAGCGAAAGCAUUAAGCAUCCCACCUGGGGAGUACGCCGGCAACGGUGAAACUCAAAGGAAUUGACGGGGGCCCGCACAAGCGGAGGAACAUGUGGUUUAAUUCGAUGAUACGCGAGGAACCUUACCCGGGCUUGAAUUGCAGAGGAAGGAUUUGGAGACAAUGACGCCCUUCGGGGCCUCUGUGAAGGUGCUGCAUGGUUGUCGUCAGCUCGUGCCGUGAGGUGUCGGCUUAAGUGCCAUAACGAGCGCAACCCCUCUCCAUAGUUGCCAUCAGGUGAAGCUGGGCACUCUGUGGACACUGCCACCGUAAGGUGCGAGGAAGGUGGGGAUGACGUCAAAUCAGCACGGCCCUUACGUCCGGGGCUACACACGUGUUACAAUGGCAGGUACAGAGAGCCGGUCGUAUGCAAAACGGAUCAAAUCCUUAAAGCCUGUCUCAGUUCGGACUGGGGUCUGCAACCCGACCCCACGAAGCUGGAUUCGCUAGUAAUCGCGCAUCAGCCAUGGCGCGGUGAAUACGUUCCCGGGCCUUGUACACACCGCCCGUCAAGCCAUGAAGGCCGGGGGCGCCUAAAGUCCGUGACCGUAAGGAGCGGCCUAGGGCGAAACUGGUGAUUGGGGCUAAGUCGUAACAAGGUA